UAUCCCCUUUCCAAAGGAUCAGCAAAGAGGAAGAGUUGAUGAUAAUGGUCCUGAGAAGUGAGGCAAUUGUGCAUGGAUGACUUCCCAGGACACAAAGGCUGUCUGCACACUCUGCACCCAGGAAAUGAGGUUAAUCAACACCUGCUCACAAGGACAGUGAAAAGAUCUUCCUCAUGAUGAUGGUGAGAUCAGGAUCUUUGCUUCUUGUUUCCUGAGGAAAGUGGCAGGGCAAUACUGAGCAAUAUGUUGGGUCAUGGCUCCACAAGACUUCAUCAGGAAUUGGUGGGAGAGUUGCUCCUCCAAGGAAUGAAGACUUGUAUUACUUCAUACAAAACUGGCAUGUCACUCAGCCAAGGGACAGAAGAAAAGGCAAACAAAGUGGCAGCAUCUCAUACAGCAUUCUCAAGGUGGAAUCUUCAAGUGAUGGGCAGCAUGCUUUAAGGGACAUCUUUGAGCAAAGCCCACCUGCUGUUCUGCCUCUACCAGCUUUGAAGCUGAAAGCAGGAGAAGGAGCAGGGAGACCAUCAAGGCGAGGCACCAGGGCUGGCUGGGGCUGAAGUCAGGAACAGAAGAGGAUGUGGGAUCCUGGGUCUGUCUGGCAGCAGGAUUUUUGGGGAACGAAGAGGACUAGGUCAGUGUUGACAAGUCCUUGUAGACUUUUAUGAAUCUUGUUAACUUUUAAGUUUUUAGAAGUCUUUUAAAAGUUUCUUUAUUUCUUCUUUCUAUAAUGCUCUUUAAAAAGUUGAAGAUGACUGGUCUAUAUGCUCUUUUUUUUCCUCCUGUUUUUAUUAUCAGAAAAACCUUUGCCCAGUUUUUUUG